CAGUUAAAAAGCUCGUAGUU
rnacentral:ncRNA from 2 species